rnacentral:rRNA from 1 species
GACGAACGCUGGCGGCGUGCUUAACACAUGCAAGUCGAGCGGUAAGGCCCCUUCGGGGGUACACGAGCGGCGAACGGGUGAGUAACACGUGGGUGACCUGCCCUCAGCUCUGGGAUAAGCCUGGGAAACUGGGUCUAAUACCGGAUAUGACUCCAUGACGCAUGUCGUGGGGUGGAAAGCCUUGUGCGGCUGGGGAUGGGCCCGCGGCCUAUCAGCUUGUUGGUGGGGUGAUGGCCUACCAAGGCGACGACGGGUAGCCGACCUGAGAGGGCGACCGGCCACACUGGGACUGAGACACGGCCCAGACUCCUACGGGAGGCAGCAGUGGGGAAUCUUGCGCAAUGGGCGAAAGCCUGACGCAGCGACGCCGCGUGAGGGAUGACGGCCUGGU